rnacentral:rRNA from 1 species
AUUGAACGCUGGCGGCAGGCUUAACACAUGCAAGUCGAGCGAGCGGCGGACGGGUGGGUAAUGUCUGGGAACCUGCCUGAUGGAGGGGGAUAACUACGGGAAACGGUAGAUAAUACCGCAUACGGUCAGAUGUGCCCAGAUGGGAUUAGCUAGUGGGUGGGGUAAUGGCUCACCUAGGCGACGAUCCCUAGCUGGGCUGAGAGGAUGACCAGCCACACUGGAACUGAGACACGGUCCAGACUCCUACGGGAGGCAGCAGUGGGGAAUAUUGCACAAUGGGCGCAAGCCUGAUGCAGCCAUGCCGCGUGUGUGAAGAAGGCCUUCGGGUUGUAAAGCACUUUCGUUGAGGAGGCGUUACUCGCAGAAGAAGCACCGGCUAACUCCGUGCCAGCAGCCGCGGUAAUAC